rnacentral:rRNA from 1 species
GGCUCAGGAUGAACGCUGGCGGCGUGCCUAAUCCAUGCAAGUCGAACGGUGAGAAGCAAUUCUCAUAGUGGCGAACGGGUGAGUAACGCGUUGAUGACCUGCCCCGAAGCGCGGGAUACCGGACCGAAAGGUCCGCUAAUACCGCAUGAUGUCACGGUCGUUAGAGAACCGUGAAGAAAGCCGAAAGGCACUUUGGGAGGGAUCUGCGUCCCAUCAGCUAGUUGGUGAGGUAGUGGCCCACCAAGGCGAUGACGGGUAGGGGACCUGAGAGGGUGACCCCCCACAAUGGAACUGAAACACGGUCCAUACACCUACGGGUGGCAGCAGGAGGGAGUAUUGGUAAUCUGGGAAACCGGGAACCAGCAACGCCGCGUGAGCGAUGAAGGCCUUCGGGUCGUAAAGCUCUUUUGGUCGGGACGAGGAAGGACGGUACCGGCCGAAUAAGCCUCGGCUAACUACGUGCCAGCAGCCGCGGUAAAACGUAGGAGGCGAGCGUUAUCCGGAUUUACUGGGUGUAAAGCGCAUGCAGGCGGUACAUUAAGUUGGGUGUGAAAGCUCCUGGCUCAACUGGGAGAGGUCGCUCAAGACUGAUGAACUGGAGCGUGGUAAGGGAAGGUGGAAUUCCGGGUGUAGUGGUGAAAUGCGUAGAUAUCCGGAGGAACACCAGUGGCGAAGGCGGCCUUCUGGACCACGACUGACGCUCAGAUGCGAAAGCUAGGGAAGCAAACGGGAUUAGAGACCCCGGUAGUCCUAGCCGUAAACGAUGUGAACUUGGCGGUAGGUGGGUAAAACCAUUUACUGCCGUAGCAAACGCGAUAAGUUCACCACCUGGGGACUACCGCCGCAAGGUUAAAACU